AGAGUUUGAUCCUGGCUCAGAGCGAACGCUGGCGGCGUGCUUAACACAUGCAAGUCGAACGAGUGUAGCAAUACAUUCGUGGCGAACGGGUGCGUAACACGUGGACAAUCUUCCUUCUGGUGGGGAAUAACUCCGCGAAAGCGGAGCUAAUACCGCAUAACAUUGCGAGGGCGCAUGCUCUUGCAUUCAAAGGCGCAAGC
rnacentral:rRNA from 1 species